AUCUCACUGGAUAUCCCUGCCUACUGGAAAUCUUCCAAAGGAAUCCUCUGUGGGAACUGAUCUCCUGCCCAGCACAAGUGACUGAUCCUACAGCUAAAACCUUCAGCAGUUGUUCAGUCGGGGUGUUUAACUGCAGAACUACUGGUUUCUUAGGACAAGGUCCCAGCAGGGAAGGACUGAAAUACCUCUAAAGAAAAAUCACAGCUCUGGGAGGCCCAGAUAUUUUUUUUUGCAUGCUUUCUCUCUCGGCUGGUUUCCAACCUCUGCAAUCUAUGCUGCUUGAUAUUUAGAUAGCUGAGUUGCUGCAUUCACUCCCUUCUGAGUACAGAGGGCUGGUGGAGCUGUUUGAUUUUGAAGUGGAAGGCAAGAUAAUGCUUCUCCCCCCUGCCCUCUCCUCUUUCUCCCUGUGCAGCUCCUGUCCUUGCAGUUCUCAGGACCUGACUAGCAGUUUUUAAAUGAAGCGAAAGUCUUAAUGUGAGGUGAAUCCUGAGACCACAAACAGUCUGGACUUCAAACAGUGAGAAAAUUGGCGCCGAAUGAUUCCGCACACAAAGCAGAAAACUUUCAUUUCCUGCAGGCAGGAUGGAAUUGACUGUUAUAUUAAGACUUCAGAAGGAGCACUGCCCCGGAGUAAUUUCACUGCUGUCAGGCAAUGUUGACAUCUAGAUUAACCUCUGUGCAGUGAAUUUUACAGCAAAGCUCAUUGUAAUGCAUGUGGGGUAUCUCCUGUAAAUCCCAGCUGAAGCCCACAGUGUCCCACCCUUCUGCACACGAGAAGGGGUUGGGGAGCAGCCGCUAUCAUUUUUGACCCCAGCAGAGCGUGACUCUAACCUCAUCCAGGCCACUUCUGCUGAAGCUGAUUUCCUACCCUGCCACAGUGACAGAGCUUCCAGACAGUACUUUUUUUAAUUCCCCGAAGAGGCUUACAUCACAAAGCUGACUUUUUUUCUUUUCUCAGUGACAAACAGCUCCCUUCACACAUCCACCCAACAACACAGACCUAAUUAAAAAGCACUAGUUAACCAGUGGCAAUUAGCUGCUUGCACUGAUUAACUCCAAAACAUGCAAUCCCUGCAGUGCAGUGAUCAGACCUGAAUGGCAGAUAAAAUCCCAGCUGUUGAGAGACUAUGGCAUCCAACCCUACUUACCAGCCCACAGGUGCAUUAGUAGCUCUGCCUACCACACCAGAAUUGCAUGAAUUAAAGAAGUGCACAGUGCAAGUCAGAGGACAUGGCAGAGGAAUCUCCUGACUCCUGAACUCAGUGCUCAUGUUGUUAAGAUGGAAGGUUAGGCCAGAACCAAGCUCUUUUGUCCUUUAGUGUAAGAGCAGGCCAAGCAGCAAGAGUUCCCAGGUAGGAGCAUCACAGCUUCUUUGCUUUUUUACUUGUGAAGACAGUCUUUUCUGUGGUAAACCUCUGAGCUCUACCAUUUCAUGGAAAGACAAACAAACCACUAACAUCUAAAAAAACUGGAAGGGGAAGGGAAGGAAGUUAUUUGUUUGCUAUAGCUGCACCUUCUCCUUCAUACCCUUAUUUUCAAACUCCUUUGCUCAAACUCCAGAUUGUUCUGCAGUCUCAUGCAGAAAGUUCUAGACAAGACACAGGCUAUCAGGUACAGAAUAGGUUAGUCACUAACCCUAAGGGCAAAAUCCCACUAGUAGUUCUAGGAACAUCAGAGCAACCCAUCCUUUCACCAAUAGGUUUUUUUUUCACGUGUUUGUCAGAGUCUUUGGGUAGCUUCUGAAGAGGUGACAUGCCUGUAGUUCAUCUCAUCUUCAAAUGGAGUUGUGUGCCCCUGGCAUUUCUGAAAUCAGUCCCAUCAGGAAGAUUUCUUCAAACUAACAUUUACUAUUCCCAAUCAGAAUACAGCUGAAAAGGCUAUCCAAGGUUAUAAAGAAGGUCAAGCUGUUGCUUUGGACUGAGGAAGGGAUUUGAUGGACCAAUUUAACCGCCACAGCACAUCAAAACCUGGUGGCUUCAUUUAAAAAGUAAUGAGUAUUGUAUUUCGCUUUAGACAUCCGUGCAUUAGUGUUCUGCAAAUAUGAUUUCCUCUUUGUUUGCAUUAUUGAUGCCAUAAAAUGUCAGACACAUUAAAGGAAAAAAAAAAAGAGG
rnacentral:lncRNA from 1 species